CUGAAAUUGUAUUCUGAUCUGAUCAACUGCAAGAUGAAGGUUGUAUUUCUAAUCCUCUCCAUCCUUCUCCUCAUCAACUCAACACAAUCCUUCUUAUUUCCGCAGCAGCAGUGCAUUUCUACAGUCGGAGCACCGUGCAGACUUCCAACACCAAAUACACCUAUGAGUGCUCAGUGUUGUCAGAACUUAAAUUUAGUUUGCGCAGAUCCUAGCCCACCAGCUGAUCCGGAUGCACC